AUGUGUGAAAAUUUCCUGGGUUGUCGACCACACUUGGGUCUUUUCAAACACAUCUUCACAAUCCGCUCUCAGUCGGUGAAGAAAGCGAAUACGAGUGACGAGAAAACACACGUUAUCCAAAUAUGUGGGGGUUUGGGCAUCCAGAAGAGGAAAAGGAGUUCUUUCCCUUCCAUGACACUUCCUAAAUCGGUCAGGGGCUGGCAGUCGACCUGGUUCUACUGCCAGAACAUUGCGACUCCAGGUCAGUCGACUGGACUUCCACCUUUUACUUUAGAUCGUGUCCAAACCCCUUCCUCGUUGGAAGUGACCACUGCGGAGAGGGUGGAAACAAACAUGCUGGUUGAGAGGGUGGUCCAGUUGAUCAAUCAGGGUGUCACUGGCAUGGAUUUGUUGGAGGUAUUUCUCAGUCGACGCAUCUAG
rnacentral:rRNA from 1 species